UGACACUUUAUAUUAUGUGAGUUGAAGAGAGUAUAAAGAGCAUAAGCUUAAAGAUUACAAGAAUUAAUUGCCCCCAGUGAUGGUAAGACGCUCUAUUUAUAGCGAACCGUGACAGUUUUGGGACGAGCACGUAAUCACUACUUUAGUGGAGUUCUCAACUUCUCCAAAGCGUGCAAGGUGAUGUACGUGCUCUCUGUGAGGUCCAAAGACGAGGCUUGACCAUUUCAUGAUGUGGGCGUGUUCAUUUAACCCGACUGUGAUGGAUCAUAUUUGUUAGGCUCGCCAUACUUCUUAUGUGACGCUCCCAAAAUAGGUAUACAACACCCAUUCUGAGUCGCCAAAAUACAUGGUAUAGAAAGCAAACUACAACUUUGACAAUACAGAUGUCGUGUAGAAUACGACAAUACAACUGUGAGUUUGAAUACAAAUAUUGUCUUCUAGACAAUAUACACACCCAAAUAAG
rnacentral:lncRNA from 1 species